GGGAAUAUGGCUUAGUAGUAGAGUGCUUGUCUUGCAUGCAUGAAGCCCUAGGUUCGAUUCCUCAGUACUA
rnacentral:tRNA from 1 species